UUUCAUUGUUCCUGUUGAGAUUAGAGAACCCAAUUCCAUGGAGGCAUCCACUGACCAUCCAGAUGACAGUCACCACAAAGAGUUUCAAGGGCUUCUGUGUUGAGGCGUAUCUUUGUCAAUCUAGUGUCACUUUAAAAGAUUUUCGAUAGAACCGGGGAUUCCUAGUCUCACACUCUUUAAAGAUACCUGUUAUUUCUUCUUCUUGCCUAAUUGCUUUGGCCAAGAAUUCUAGUAAUAUGUUGAAUAGAAGGGAGAAUGGACACACUUUUCUUGUUCCU